rnacentral:rRNA from 1 species
AUGCAUGUCUAAGUACAAGCCUGAACAUGGUGAAACCGCGAAUGGCUCAUUAAAUCAGUUAUGGUUCCUUAGAUCGUUAGUUGUCCUACAUGGAUAACUGUAGUAAUUCUAGAGCUAAUACAUGCAAUAAAGCUCCGACCUCACGGGAAGAGCGCGUUUAUUAGAUCAAGACCGGCCGGGGUGAGUCUCUCGCUCCGCCUCUUGGUGAUUCUGGAUAACUUUGAGCUGAUCGCACGGCCUCGAGCCGGCGACGUAUCUUUCAAAUGUCUGCCCUAUCAACUUUCGUUGGUAAGUGCUUUGCUUACCAUGGUUGUAACGGGUAACGGGGAAUCAGGGUUCGAUUCCGGAGAGGGAGCAUGAGAAACGGCUACCACU